UACGUAGGGGGCAAGCGUUAUCCGGAUUUACUGGGUGUAAAGGGAGCGUAGACGGCGGUGCAAGCCAGAUGUGAAAGCCCGGGGCUCAACCCCGGGACUGCAUUUGGAACUGUAUGGCUGGAGUGUCGGAGAGGCAAGUGGAAUUCCUAGUGUAGCGGUGAAAUGCGUAGAUAUUAGGAGGAACACCAGUGGCGAAGGCGGCUUGCUGGACGAUGACUGACGUUGAGGCUCGGAAGCGUGGGGAGCAAACAGG
rnacentral:rRNA from 1 species